rnacentral:pre_miRNA from 1 species
CGAACAACGUUCGGACCGUCGGUCUACCGAGCAAUUUUACCCGCUCGGUGGAAGAUCUUCCUUUCGUCGUAACCC